GAGGAGGAGGAGGAAGAGGAGGAGGGGAGUGGGGGGAUAGAGGUGCCGCCCUAUCAGAGUGUGCUUCAGUGCCUCCAGCUCCCUCUUGAUUGCCUGACAUUCUUUAUCAACAGUCAAGUAAUUCUGUUCCCUUGGCAACAGUUUCCUGCUGAUACAAAGAAUCAGGUAUCACCUUGAAAGUUUAAGAGUGUGGUUGGCAGCUUUGGUGUUUUCAUUUGCGUGCAGCAGCAACAUCAUUUUCAGGAGGGAACUGGGGUUUGGUUGAAAGCUUUAAGCUUUUAUUUUCAUCCCUGUCCACCUGCAGCGGCCUACACUCAGGUCAUGGCACCCUUCUAUUAAUUCCUCUUUACCUCUCUGGCCAGUGACUGCAAAGGUUACCACACAGUUUAACCACAGAGAUAGAUCUGAUCUCUCUCACAGCACCGCCUGGGUCUGAAUUACUAUCUUAUAAUGCAACUUGAAUUUAAUUCCCAUUUCAUAGGGCUUAGGAGGCUGUGAGAUUAGCAGCCUGGAUGUAAUAUUUUAGAAAGCUUUUUGUUUUGUUUUGACCUUCUGGGGAUUGUGAAGGCAGAUCACAAAAUGUUAUUCAAAUGAUGCUUUUGACUCCCAGACUGGCACUGACAUGCAUCAGCGCCGACUUGAAUGGAACAUAGAUAUAUUCACUCGGGCUGCACGACAUCAGGCUGUGCGGUUUCCUGAAAUAUUUCCCUUCACUUAUAUUUCAUCUCCGUCUCUCUGCCUCAGAGUAUAUUUCAUGUUCUGCCUACAGUCUGGCCGGGAAAUAAGCAGUUGCACCUGUAACCUGCAGUUUUCUUGAGCACAUCGAGUAACUGCAGCAAAUUAAAAGUCUACGACUGUUUGUUGAGUUUUUUCAUAAUAGAAAAAUACAAACUUUGGCUCAAAACUUUUGGAGAUUCAGCGCAGAAAAGAGCUGACUUGCAUGUGCCUGAACAUCAUUUUCUGGAAGUGCUGUAUGCAAUAACCAAUUUUUUAACUUAUGAAUAAACAUCAGACCAAACAAGCUGUGCGGUGUGUGUAGUCGGCUUUUGGACUGGUAAACUCAGAGUAAUCCUUGCAUUAGAGAACUCUUUAAUACCACAGCAUUAUCAACUUCUAACUUUGGUAUAACUCUAGAAGUAGGGCUGGGCGAUAAAAUGAUAAUGAUAGAUUAAUUAAUUUCCCUCGAUAUCAGGAUAAAACAUGGUCAAUAUGCUUUUCAAUAGUUGGCAUUCUGCCACGUUUUGGUUGCUCCAAGUCUGCGCCGCGCCGAACCAAUCAUGUGCUGAAUUAGAACAAAGUAGCAAACAACUGCGUAGUUGUAGGCUACGGCUACACGCAACCAUAGCACGGUAAGAAAAAAAGAAAAUGAGAGCUACCCCCGGCAGAAAUGCAGAUGAUGACAUCGUCAACAACACUGGCACAAAAACGUUGGUGGUGUGGAGAUAUCUUCGUCUCUUGAGGUCGGACAUAAAGCAGAGUAAUGUGCACUGCGAAUCAAGUCAAGUACAUGUUCUCGCAAAGUCUGGGAAUACGUAAAAUCUUUUUCGCCACCUGAAGCAGUGCUACCCAGCAGAGCACGCGCAAUGCAAAAGGUUACAAACCCCGAGCAAAGCAAGUGCGAAGCAGCCCACAGCACCUGUGCAGCUGAAACAGCCGACCAUUCAGUCCGCUUUAUCUAGCGCAACGCCUUACGACAAAACAUUAAGGAGACACAAAGACCUCACAGAUGCAGUAGAUUAUUGUAUUUUAAAAGACAUGCUACCAAUAAGCACUGUUUUAUUAAAUAUAAAAGUAAAAGGAUUCAUUUAAGAUUGACAAGUGAUUUUUUUUUUCUAUCAUGAUAUAAAUCGAUAUCGAUUGAUAUCAAAAAUACAUAUUGUGAUGAACUUUUUCCCAUAUCGCCCAGCCCUACCUAGAAGAAAACGACGAUUAGAGCAUACAUUUUGAUAUAACACUAUGAUCAUACACUCUGACAUAUUGCUUAGUUCAGAUCAGCAUAAUCUUUAGUGUUAACCUCAGCCUUACUGUGAGAUAGUGUCCUUAGAAAAGGGUCAAAUCAAUACUUUUCAAUAUAUUACACAGACAAGCUGAAACAAAUCAAACGAAACAAAACAACCAUGCUGUCAGCUUCACGGGAAAUAUUACUGCAUUUUAUUCACAAGAGCUAUGUAAAGUCUUUUAACAGCAGGGUGUCAAAGACUUUAGUCGUCUUAUGUUUGUGAAUGAAUCACUCUGACAGAUCGCACAAUCGGGGAUAUGAAACAUGUCAUUUUUAGCGUGGGCUUCAGUUAGAUACUUUUACAACGUUUCCACAUUUUCCUCUAAUUUUAGACCAAGUUUGGCACGAAUACUACGUUUUCAAAUGUAUGAGACGCUGUGGUGCAUUUGACUAUGGCUUUGUUCCUUCAUGCAUACCUCCAUCGGAGUUCUCAUGUCAAAGGUUAACAUGUACCAAAUAGUACAGGGGAAAGAUAAACAGGCGAAAGCAAAGGAAAGGUUUCAACAUCCGAUCUGGCUCACAUGGCCAGCUGAUCCUCAUGGGUCAAAGGCUUUAUAAAGUUCUGUGUUAAGGCUGCUCUCCAGGUGCACUCAUGUGCACACAGAGUGAGCAAAAGGAAAAGUCUGUAGGAACUGUCAAAAUAUUGAAAAUGUAGGGAGACACACGGCUGUAAUUUUUAGUACCGUGGGCUUUUGCAGGCUAGAGCUGGACAGUAAUGUUUUCUUUAUAAAUAACCCGACACAGAAGGAGAAGAGAAAAUAUGUAUUCUUUGUCCACUGAUGUUCCCCAUAAAUGCAAUUGCACACUACUGCCAACCUUUUUAAAUGACUACUCUCAGCUACAACAACAGCAACAAAGCGAAAUUCACUGCUGCCUCCAUGAAAGCAACUCAGUAACAUAAUGGAAUUUCUGACUGGUUUUUCACACACUGUCAUAUGAAAAUUGUUCAAAUGUACGUGGAGUAAAAAGGAGAUUCAAAGCAAUGUCAGC